rnacentral:rRNA from 1 species
GACGAACGCUGGCGGCGCGCCUAACACAUGCAAGUCGAACGAGCGAGAGAGAGCUUGCUUUCUUGAGCGAGUGGCGAACGGGUGAGUAACGCGUGAGGAACCUGCCUCAAAGAGGGGGACAACAGUUGGAAACGACUGCUAAUACCGCAUAAGCCCACGGUGCCGCAUGGCACAGAGGGAAAAGGAGCAAUCCGCUUUGAGAUGGCCUCGCGUCCGAUUAGCUAGUUGGUGAGGUAACGGCCCACCAAGGCGACGAUCGGUAGCCGGACUGAGAGGUUGAACGGCCACAUUGGGACUGAGACACGGACCAGACUCCUACGGGAGGCAGCAGUGGGGAAUAGUGCACAAUGGGGGAAACGCUGAUGCAGCGACGCCGCGUGGAGGAAGAAGGUCGUCGGAUUGUAAACUCCUGUUGUUGGGGAAGAUAAUGACGGUACCCAACAAGGAAGUGACGGCUAACUACGUG